GUAGUCCACGCCGUAAACGAUGGAUACUAGACGUUUGGGGAAUCAACCCCCCGAGUGUCUAAAGCAUACGCGUUAAGUAUCCCGCCUGGGGAGUACGGUCGCAAGACUAAAACUCAAAGGAAUUGACGGGGGCCCGCACAAGCGGUGGAGUAUGUGGUUUAAUUCGACGCAACGCGCAGAACCUUACCUAGGCUUGACAUCUUGCGACGAACAUUAGAGAUAGUGUUCUUUCCUUCGGGAACGCAAAGACAGGUGCUGCAUGGCUGUCGUCAGCUCGUGUUGUGAAAUGUUGGGUUAAGUCCCGCAACGAGCGCAACCCUUGCCCUUAGUUGACAUCAUUAAGUUGGUCACUUUGAGGGGACUGCCGAUGUUAAAUCGGA
rnacentral:rRNA from 1 species